UGAGGAAUAUUGGACAAUGGGCGCAAGCCUGAUCCAGCCAUGCCGCGUGCAGGAUGACGGUCCUAUGGAUUGUAAACUGCUUUUGUACAGGAAGAAACAGUUCUACGUGUAGAACCUUGACGGUACUGUAAGAAUAAGGAUCGGCUAACUCCGUGCCAGCAGCCGCGGUAAUACGGAGGAUCCAAGCGUUAUCCGGAAUCAUUGGGUUUAAAGGGUCCGUAGGCGGUUAGAUAAGUCAGUGGUGAAAGCCCAUCGCUCAACGGUGGAACGGCCAUUGAUACUGUCUGACUUGAAUUAUUAGGAAGUAACUAGAAUAUGUAGUGUAGCGGUGAAAUGCUUAGAGAUUACAUGGAAUACCAAUUGCGAAGGCAGGUUACUACUAAUGGAUUGACGCUGAUGGACGAAAGCGUGGGUAGCGGACAGGAUUAGAUACCCCAGUAGUCCCUGAGCGGGCUGGCAAGGCGCAU
rnacentral:rRNA from 1 species